CAGCCGUAAACUAUGCGCGUUAGGUGUAUCGGUGACCACGAGUUACCGAGGUGCCGAAGGGAAUCCGUGAAACGUGCCGCCUGGGAAGUACGGUCGCAAGGCUGAAACUUAAAGGAAUUGGCGGGGGAGCACCACAACAGGUGGAGCCUGCGGUUUAAUUGGACUCAACGCCGGGAAGCUCACCGGAUAGGACAGCAGAAUGAUUGCCGGGCUGAAGACCCUGCAUGACUAGCUGAGAGGAGGUGCAUGGCGUAGACGUCU
rnacentral:rRNA from 1 species